rnacentral:lncRNA from 1 species
CGUGGUGAGGUGGCACAGCUGCGUGGUGAGGUGGCACAGCUGCGUGGUGAGGUGGCACAGCUGCGCGCAUGUGCCGGUGAGCCCUUUGAAUGAAACGCGCGUGUCUGGCGCUCACAGGGAAAGAAGCGUGUAAAGGUGUGUGAAGUGGGACUAGCGUGAAUAAGUCUUGCGGUCUCACAAACACGUGAGGCUACAUUCGGAGAUAUAGUCACGUGAUCGCGGAAGCGGGCAGUGGUUGAAUCGUGUGCUUGGCGUGGUCACAGCAGAAACAGUACCACAAUAAAGCAAGCUUAAAGGGGUCAUAUCAUGCAAAAUCCACUUUUUAGACAUUUUGGAGCAUUUUGGUUCCUAUGACUCUAUGGGUCACAUAUACACACACUGAGCACUGUAGAAAUGCAUUUCCUCCUUUUUCACAUUUUGAAAAUGUGAAUUUUCUCAUCCAAUGGGGACAGACCUCGUCCUACUCUGAAGCUGGGUCCCCGUUGUCGUCACAGAUGUAGGAAGUCCUCCCUGCAAAUCCUGAACCACCACCCCCACUAUGAUACCGAACCAAAACUGGACUUCCGCCAUUUCCCGCCUUUCACUCACUGUGAACAGACAAGCACGGCAGCGCCCAAGUCCUCCCAUAGAAAUAGUUCGGUUCUUGGGUGUUUUAACAAACACCAAAGUCUAUUCAUUUUACCAAGGGAUCAACAAGUGAGGACUUUGUGGGUCACUUUUAUUUUAAACGGACCGGUGCCAGAAACACUGCCUCAGCAUUUAUACGUAUGUGCAUUUCAAACAUGGGUGCGUACAAUACUGGAUUUGUUUCACGGCUCCUGUUGGAAAAAAAGGAUCUAUUCCUACAAAUCUUCAAUUCUGAUUGCAGUACCUUUUGUUUUGAUGAGGUGAUGGUGAGGACAGCCACAGCUUCCAUCUGGUAGAGGACUGCUUCUGCUCAGUCUUCCAAAUAGUGAUGAGAACAAGGAUCACCACAUCUCCCUAGUCAUCGGUCUACAACUAUACCUGUCCUUCUUCAGAAACAAAUCUCCAACAUAACCAAGUGUACCCUCUACCCAGGACAUGGACUGUUUACCCUACUUCCAUCAAGCAUUUCAUCUGCAAGGCCCUGCAAAAGCUUCUGUCCUCAAACCCCCAGACUUCUUAAUUAACUCAGUAACCUAUACAUUGCUGAUUGGAGUGUGAAGAUAACAGUUUGUUAUAGCUUUGGAGUAGUGGUGCAUUUUUUUGGUUGACAAUAAAGUUUGCUUAACCUAUUACGUAUUUCA